AAGCGUGAAGAUACGAUAAUGUCGCUCCAGUCUUACGAUCCUUCCGUUAUUGGAAUGGGCGAUGGUGAUCGACAUAUCAUCUGAUUU